GGAUCGAACCUAAAACGUGUUGGCGUCUCAGUCUGGUCUCCUUAUCACUCGACCACAAUCACCCGCUCAAAUAUAUCCUCCAGUGUACCAAAAGCUAACAUGUAAAUUAAUACAUUUGUAUGUUGAUUAGUUCUGCUUUGCUGAUCUUAUCGCAUUCAAUGUUUCCAUAGUUUUUUUUAUAAGAAAUGCAACUUCUGUUUGUUAAUUAUGAGCGAUAUACUCCUACAGAAAAAUCAACUUGAUUAUAAACAAACAAAAAUUAAACGAACACAAAACAUACAUAACUAGACCAAUGCCCGUCUGGAAAUACACACAUGUCAUCUUAUUUUCACUUUGUCAAUAACAAAUAAAAUGACAAUUCUUAUGGGUAAGAAAUUCUCUGGAACAUAAUAAAUAAAAUUUAAUCAUACUUCAACACUACUCAUAAAACUUUCUUGUACCACAAACUUUGUUCAGGUUACACAUCCUCUGUAACUGUUGGUUAACUUCAAUAACAACUAUUUAUUUUACAUUAUAUUUUCAUUAUUUUACUAUCCUCUUCAAUAUUAUACGUAGCCUAAAAUAAAACAAUUAUGAAAUACAAUC
rnacentral:lncRNA from 1 species